UAUUUGGUGCUAAAUGAAUGGUUUGUU
rnacentral:sRNA from 1 species